rnacentral:rRNA from 1 species
GAUGAACGCUAGCGGGAGGCCUAACACAUGCAAGCCGAGCGGUAUUGUUUCUUCGGAAAUGAGAGAGCGGCGUACGGGUGCGUAACACGUGUGCAACCUGCCUUUAUCUGGGGGAUAGCCUUUCGAAAGGAAGAUUAAUACUCCAUAAUAUAUUGAACGGCAUCGUUUAAUAUUGAAAGCUCCGGCGGAUAGAGAUGGGCACGCGCAAGAUUAGCUAGUUGGUGAGGUAACGGCUUACCAAGGCGAUGAUCUUUAGGGGGCCUGAGAGGGUGAUCCCCCACACUGGUACUGAGCCACGGACCAGACUCCUACGGGAGGCAGCAGUGAGGAAUAUUGGUCAAUGGGUGCAAGCCUGAACCAGCCAUCCCGCGUGAAGGACGACUGCCCUAUGGGUUGUAAACUUCUUUUGUAUAGGGAUAAACCUACCCUCGUGAGGGUAGCUGAAGGUACUAUACGAAUAAGCACCGGCUAACUCCGUG